GGAUGUGAGGGCGAUCUGGCUGCAACAUCUGUCACCCCCUUGAUCGUGACAUUGAUCGCCAGUGUUGAUUUGGCUGAUCUGGCUGCCUAGGUGGGUGUCCCUCACUGCUCCACGUGCGUCCCACCCGAAGCUGCGCGCUCGGUCAAAGAGGAUGACCUUCCCCAAUAGAGGCGUGUACCGUUCAUUGUUCAAGGGUAUACGGUAGCUGCGCUCCCCUGCUAGAACCUCCAAGCAAGCUCAAGGUCCAUUUGUAGGAGAAGCUUCCAAGACUGCAGACACAUCCAAGUGAGGCGCUGCAUGGGGCAGUCUGCCAUUGUUU
rnacentral:snRNA from 1 species